CCGACGGCAGCACGGGUGCUUGCACCUGGUGGCGAGUGGCGAACGGGUGAGUAAUGCGUCGGAACGUACCGAGUAAUGGGGGAUAACGCAGCGAAAGUUGUGCUAAUACCGCAUACGCCCUGAGGGGGAAAGUGGGGGACCGCAAGGCCUCACGUUAUUCGAGCGGCCGACGUCUGAUUAGCUAGUUGGUGGGGUAAAGGCCUACCAAGGCGACGAUCAGUAGCGGGUCUGAGAGGAUGAUCCGCCACACUGGGACUGAGACACGGCCCAGACUCCUACGGGAGGCAGCAGUGGGGAAUUUUGGACAAUGGGGGCAACCCUGAUCCAGCCAUUCCGCGUGAGUGAAGAAGGCCUUCGGGUUGUAAAGCUCUUUCAGCUGGAACGAAACGGUACGCGCUAACAUCGUGUGCUAAUGACGGUACCGGCAGAAGAAGCACCGGCUAACUACGUGCCAGCAGCCGCGGUAAUACGUAGGGUGCGAGCGUUAAUCGGAAUUACUGGGCGUAAAGCGUGCGCAGGCGGAUUGUUAAGCAAGACGUGAAAUCCCCGGGCUUAACCUGGGAAUGGCGUUUUGAACUGGCAGUCUAGAGUGCGUCAGAGGGGGGUGGAAUUCCACGUGUAGCAGUGAAAUGCGUAGAGAUGUGGAGGAACACCGAUGGCGAAGGCAGCCCCCUGGGAUGACACUGACGCUCAUGUACGAAAGC
rnacentral:rRNA from 1 species